UACGUAGGGUGCAAGCGUUAAUCGGAAUUACUGGGCGUAAAGGGCUCGUAGGCGGCCAACUAAGUCAGACGUGAAAUCCCCAGGCUCAACCUGGGAACUGCGUCUGAUACUGGAUGGCUUGAAUUCGGGAGAGGGAUGCAGAAUUCCAGGUGUAGCGGUGAAAUGCGUAGAUAUCUGGAGGAAUACCGGUGGCGAAGGCGGCAUCCUGGACCGACAUUGACGCUGAUGAGCGAAAGCUAGGGGAGCAAACGGG
rnacentral:rRNA from 1 species